CCCCUAACCAGGUGUUCUCCUCUGCUAGCCCAGUACCUCCCCUAACCAGGUGUUCUACUCUGCUAGCCAGCGCCUCCUCUAACCAGGUGUUCUACUCUGCUAGCCCAGUACCUCCCCUAACCAGGUGUUCUACUCUGCUAGCCCAGUACCUCCCCUAACCAGGUGUUCUACUCUGCUAGCCCAGUACCUCCCCUAACCAGGUGUUCUACUAUGCUAGCCAGCACCUCCCCUAAACAGGUGUUCUACUCUGCUAGCCAGUACCUCCCCUAACCA
ensembl:lncRNA